GACGAACGCUGGCGGCGUGCCUAAUACAUGCAAGUCGAACGCUGAAGCGAGGAGUUUGCUCUUCUUGCGAGAGUCGCGCACGGGUGAGUAACGCGUAGGUAACCCGCCUUGUAGCGGGGGAUAACUAUUGGAAACGAUAGCUAAUACAGACUAACAACGGAUGACACAUGUCAUUUAUCUGAAAGGGGCAAUUGCUCCACUACAAGAUGGACCUGUGUUGUUUUAGCUAGUUGGUGGGGUAAGGGCUCACCUAGGUGACGAUACAUAGCCGACCUGAGGGGAGGACCGGCCACACUGGGACUGAGCCACGGCCCAGACUCCUACGGGAGGCAGCAGUGGGGAAUUUUGGACAAUGGGGCAACCCUUGCCGCACAACGCCGCGGGGUGGAAGGAGGUUUUCGGGUCGGAAAGGUCUGUUUUACGGGAAGAACGUCUGUGGGACUGGAAAGUUCACACUGUGACGGUAGCUUAACAAAAAGCAACGGCUAACUACGUG
rnacentral:rRNA from 1 species